rnacentral:rRNA from 1 species
AGCGAACGCUGGCGGCAGGCCUAACACAUGCAAGUCGAACGAACCUUUCGGGGUUAGUGGCGGACGGGUGAGUAACACGUGGGAACGUGCCUUUAGGUUCGGAAUAACUCAGGGAAACUUGUGCUAAUACCGAAUGUGCCCUUCGGGGGAAAGAUUUAUCGCUUUUAGUGCGGCCGGCGUUGGUUUAGCUAGUUGGUUGAGGUAAUGGCUCACCAAGGCGACGAUCAGUAGCUGGUCUGAGAGGAUGAUCAGCCACAUUGGGACUGAGACACGGCCCAAACUCCUACGGGAGGCAGCAGUGGGGAAUCUUGCGCAAUGGGCGAAAGCCUGACGCAGCCAUGCCGCGUGAAUGAUGAAGGUCUUAGGAUUGUAAAAUUCUUUCACCGGGGACGAUAAUGACGGUACCCGGAGAAGAAGCCCCGGCUAACUUCGUG